CCUACGGGUGGCAGCAGUGGGGAAUAUUGGACAAUGGGGGAAACUCUGAUCCAGCGACGCCGCGUGAGGGAAGAAGUACUUCGGUAUGUAAAGCUCUAUCAGUAGGGAAGAAAAUGACGGUACCUGAGUAAGAAGCCCCGGCUAACUACGUGCCAGCAGCCGCGGUAAUACGUAGGGGGCCAGCGUUAUCCGGAUUUACUGGGUGUAAAGGGAGCGUAGACGGUGCAGCAAGUCUGUUGUGAAAGGUCGCGGCUCAACCGCGAAACUGCAUUGGAAACUGGCGAACUGGAGUACAGGAGAGGUAAGCGGAAUUCCUAGUGUAGCGGUGAAAUGCGUAGAUAUUAGGAGGAACACCGGUGGCGAAGGCAGCUUACUGGACUGUAACUGACGUUGAGGCUCGAAAGCGUGGGGAGCAAACAGGAUUAGAUACCCGGGUAGUC
rnacentral:rRNA from 1 species